GAGUUUGAUCAUGGCUCAGGAUGAACGCUGGCGGCGUGCCUAAUACAUGCAAGUCGUACGAACAGCGGAAAGUGCUUGCACUUUCCAAGUAAGUGGCGAACGGGUGAGUAACACGUGAAUAACCUACCUCAAAGUCUGGGAUAACCAUUGGAAACAGUGACUAAUACCGGAUAAAACCUAGUAGCACAUGCUACAAGGUUAAAAGCUGCGUUUGCAGCGCUUUAAGAUGGAUUCGCGGUGCAUUAGUUAGUUGGUGAGGUAAAGGCUCACCGUAAGACAAUGAUGCAUAGCCGAGUUGAGAGACUGACCGG
rnacentral:rRNA from 1 species